CGUGCUUACCAUGCAGUCGACGGAAGGCCCUGCUUUUGUGGGGUGCUCGAGUGGCGAACGGGUGAGUAACACGUGAGUAACCUGCCCUUGACUUUGGGAUGACUUCAGGAAACUGGGGCUAAUACCGGAUAGGAGCUCCUGCUGCAUGGUGGGGGUUGGAAAGUUUCGGCGGUUGGGGAUGGACUCGCGGCUUAUCAGCUUGUUGGUGGGGUAGUGGCUUACCAAGGCUUUGACGGGUAGCCGGCCUGAGAGGGUGACCGGCCACAUUGGGACUGAGAUACGGCCCAGACUCCUACGGGAGGCAGCAGUGGGGAAUAUUGCACAAUGGGCGGAAGCCUGAUGCAGCAACGCCGCGUGCGGGAUGACGGCCUUCGGGUUGUAAACCGCUUUCGCCUGUGACGAAGCGUGAGUGACGGUAAUGGGUAAAGAAGCACCGGCUAACUACGUGCCAGCGCCCCCGGGGAAAAUAACGACGAACCGUUGAACUGGU
rnacentral:rRNA from 1 species